GACAUGUCGUCCUCAAAAUAAUUGAUUUUCUUUUCUUUUUUUUUCUUUUCUUUUUGUAAAAAGAACAAAUUUAGUUUUAUUACUCAUCUUUUUGGUUUUUAGCCUAGGUUAUUAUUUUAUUAUAAUUAUUUUUUUGUUCCUCUCGAUCCGUCUGUGUGAGUGACCUCCUCAGACAUCUGCCCCUCAUAAUUACCCCUGGGCCAUUCCAUGCAACCAUUGUAAUGAUUUUAAUAUCCGUUAACGGCAAACAUAAAGAUCCUGUUGGCUGUGAAGGCUCUGGCAAAAACUCAAUAACAGGUGAGCCCUGCAUCAGCACAUGGAGCUGUGAUAAUUAGGAAAUCAUCACUGAGGAGGUGAAGGAGGUGAAGGAGGAACAAAAAUAGAAAAUGGACAGUGGCUGAAGACAAAAGAGCUGCUGUGGACGCUUUGAUAUUGAUGUCGUCAUUUGCAUACACACACACACACAAACACUCUCUCUCUUCAUAUACAGUAAUGAAUAUAAACAAUGCCACAGAUCCACAUGAAAUUACCUCCUUUGCUCCUUCACAUCUCUCACAACCAGACCAUACCAAGAGGAGCUCCCUAUUUAAUUAGCUGUGAAUGCCUCUUUAAAGGGAACACACACACACACACACCAUAACUGGCUGAACCUCACACACACACACAAAAUAUGCUUUUGUCACCCAAAGACAAAAACAAUGCUCAGAAGGUGGAUGAUUGUUUUCUGAGUCCGGUUUGGCAUGAAACAAGGGAAA